AGAGUUUGAUCCUGGCUCAGGACGAACGCUGGCGGCGUGCUUAACACAUGCAAGUCGAACGGAAAGUGCCCUUUUCGGAGGGUGACUCGAGUGGCGAACGGGUGAGUAACACGUGGGUGAUCUGCCCUGCACUUUGGGAUAAGCCUGGGAAACUGGGUCUAAUACCGGAUAGGACCACGCGCUGCAUGGUGUGUGGUGGAAAGUCCUUUGGGAUGGUGUGGGAUGGGCCCGCGGCCUAUCAGCUUGUUGGUGGGGUGAUGGCCUACCAAGGCUGCGACGGGUAGCCGGCCUGAGAGGGUGUCCGGCCACACUGGGACUGAGAUACGGCCCAGACUCCUACGGGAGGCAGCAGUGGGGAAUAUUGCACAAUGGGCGCAAGCCUGAUGCAGCGACGCCGCGUGGGGGAAUGACGG
rnacentral:rRNA from 1 species